rnacentral:rRNA from 1 species
GACGAACGCUGGCGGCGUGCCUAAUACAUGCAAGUAGAACGCUGAAGAGAGGAGCUUGCUCUUCUUGGAUGAGUUGCGAACGGGUGAGUAACGCGUAGGUAACCUGCCUUGUAGCGGGGGAUAACUAUUGGAAACGAUAGCUAAUACCGCAUAACAAUAGGUGACACAUGUCAUUUAUUUGAAAGGGGCAAUUGCUCCACUACAAGAUGGACCUGCGUUGUAUUAGCUAGUAGGUGAGGUAACGGCUCACCUAGGCGACGAUACAUAGCCGACCUGAGAGGGUGAUCGGCCACACUGGGACUGAGACACGGCCCAGACUCCUACGGGAGGCAGCAGUAGGGAAUCUUCGGCAAUGGGGGCAACCCUGACCGAGCAACGCCGCGUGAGUGAAGAAGGGUGUCGGAUCGUAAAGCUCUGUUGUAAGUCAAGAACGAGUGUGAGAGUGGAAAGUUCACACUGUGACGGUAGCUUACCAGAAAGGGACGGCUAACUACGUG